ensembl:snRNA U1 U1 spliceosomal RNA
AUACUUAGUUGGCAGGGGAGAUACCAUCAUCAUGAAGGUGAUUUUCCCAGGGUGAGGCUUUAUCCAUUGCACUCCACAUGUGCUGACUCCUGUGAUUUCCCCAAAUGUGGGAAACUCGACUGCAAAAUUUGUGGUAGUGGGGGACUGCGUUCGUGCUCUCUCUUU